UGGCAUCAACGGCAGAAGCUAUGAUUACUUU
rnacentral:piRNA from 1 species